rnacentral:rRNA from 1 species
GAUGAACGCUGGCGGCGUGCCUAAUACAUGCAAGUCGGGCGAACGGACGAGAAGCUUGCUUCUCUGAUGUUAGCGGCGGACGGGUGAGUAACACGUGGAUAACCUACCUAUAAGACUGGGAUAACUUCGGGAAACCGGAGCUAAUACCGGAUAAUAUUUUGAACCGCAUGGUUCAAAAGUGAAAGACGGUCUUGCUGUCACUUAUAGAUGGAUCCGUGCUGCAUUAGCUAGUUGGUAAGGUAACGGCUUACCAAGGCAACGAUGCAUAGCCGACCUGAGAGGGUGAUCGGCCACACUGGAACUGAGACACGGUCCAGACUCCUACGGGAGGCAGCAGUAGGGAAUCUUCCGCAAUGGGCGAAAGCCUGACGGAGCAACGCCGCGUGAGUGAUGAAGGUCUUCGGAUCGUAAAACUCUGUUAUUAGGGAAGAACAUAUGUGUAAGUAACUGUGCACAUCUUGACGGUACCUAAUCAGAAAGCCACGGCUAACUACGUG